rnacentral:rRNA from 1 species
CCCUUAGAUGUUCUGGGCUGCACGCGCGCUACACUGAGUAAUUCAAUGGGUAAGGGAACGCUAGAGCAUUACCUAAUCUUGAAAUUUGCUCGUGAUGGGGAUCGACGGUUGCAAUUUUCCGUCGUGAACGAGGAAUACCUUGUAGGCGCAUGUCAUCAUCAUGCGCCGAAUACGUCCCUGCCCUUUGUACACACCACCCGUCGCUCCUACCGAUUGAGUGAUCCGGUGAGGCUCUGGGACCUGGACGGAAAGAGCGUUUCGCUUGUUCUGUUUGGGAAACUUGGUCGAACCUUAUCAUUUAGAGGAAGGAGAAGUCGUAACA